GGGCCCGUAGUCUAGUGGUAGGACGCUGCCCUGACGUGGCAGAGACCCCGGUUCGAUUCCGGGCGGGCCCA
rnacentral:tRNA from 1 species